ACACGACUACAUUAGAUACCCCCUGUAGUCCCAGCCCUAAACGAUGCGCGUUAGGUGUAUCGGUGACCACGAGUCACCGAGGUGCCGAAGGGAAACCGUGAAACGUGCCGCCUGGGAAGUACGGUCGCAAGGCUAGAAACUUAAAGGAAUUGGCGGGGGAGCACCGCAACGGGAGGAGCGUGCGGUUCAAUUGGAUUCAACGCCGGACAACUCACCAGGAGCGACGGUUACAUGAAGGCCAGGCUGAUGACCUUGCCUGAUUUUCCG
rnacentral:rRNA from 1 species